CCUACGGGAGGCAGCAGUGAGGAAUAUUGGUCAAUGGACGAGAGUCUGAACCAGCCAAGUAGCGUGAAGGAAGACUGCCCUAUGGGUUGUAAACUUCUUUUAUAUGGGAACAAAAUGUUCCACGUGUGGGAUUUUGUAUGUACCCUAUGAAAAAGCAUCGGCUAACUCCGUGCCAGCAGCCGCGGUAAUACGGAGGAUCCGAGCGUUAUCCGGAUUUAUUGGGUUUAAAGGGGGCGUAGGUGGAUUGUUAAGUCAGUUAUGAAAGUUUGGGGCUCAACCCUAGAAUUGCAGUUGAAACUGGCAGUCUUGAGUACAGUAGAGGUGGGCGGAAUUCGUGGUGUAGCGGUGAAAUGCAUAGAUAUCACGAAGAACUCCGAUUGCGAAGGCAGUUCACUGGCCUGCAACUGACGCUGAGGCUCGAAAGUGUGGGUAUCGAACAGGAUUAGAUACCCGGGUAGUC
rnacentral:rRNA from 1 species